AGUGAACGCUGGCGGUAGGCCUAACACAUGCAAGUCGAACGGCAGCACAGUAAGAGCUUGCUCUUACGGGUGGCGAGUGGCGGACGGGUGAGGCAUACACCGGAAUCUACUUUUUCGUGGGGGAUCACGUAGGGAAACUUACGCUAAUACCGCAUACGACCUACGGGUGAAAGCAGGGGAUCUUCGGACCUUGCGCGAUUGAAUGAGCCGAUGUCGGAUUAGCUAGUUGGCGGGGUAAAGGCCCACCAAGGCGACGAUCCGUAGCUGGUCUGAGAGGAUGAUCAGCCACACUGGAACUGAGCCACGGUCCAGACUCCUACGGGAGGCAGCAGUGGGGAAUAUUGGACAAUGGGCGCAAGCCUGAUCCAGUCAUACCGCGUGGGUGAAGAAGGCCUUCGGGUUGUAAAGCCCUUUUGUGGGGAAAGAAAAGCAGCAGGUUAAUACCACGCUGUUCUGACGGUACCCAAAGAAUAAGCACCGGCUAACUUCGUG
rnacentral:rRNA from 1 species